UUGGGAAUAUUCUUCAUGCAUUUUGUAGGAAAUUACAAAAUUUAGUGUGCUAACAGAUGAUCUAGCCAGACCCCAGAAAACAAGAUACAUAAGCCAUCGAUUCGGCCUCAAAAUUUGAAAGCCAUUUUAAAAGAAAAA
rnacentral:sRNA from 1 species